AUGUUGUAUCUCUUUAUAGGGUUUGGAGGCUUGUGAGACCUUUCAAAGCAAAUGUUGAAGAUGUGCAAGGAAGGAGGAGAAUUGUGUGAGCAGAAUUCUGCUGGUGCAGCAUGGAUGCAACGCUUUCUACUUUAGCCUGAUCCGCUGCCAAAUACCUGGGAAUGGAAUUUGACCCGUGUCUAAAUCUGCCUAGAUGCAUAAUAAUCCUGUCCAGAAGAUUGCCCAUUGCACCAGAAAGGAUUGCCACCUUUGAAAUUGCAUGCCAGGA